rfam:Triticum aestivum genome assembly, contig: Triticum_aestivum_CS42_TGACv1_scaffold_032169_1BL
AAACUACUCCCUCCGUCCCAAAAUUCUCGUCUUCGAUUUGUCUAGAUACGGAUGUAUCUAAUACUAAAACGUGACUUGAUACAUCCGUAUUUAAACAAAUCUAAGACAAGAAUUUUGGGACGGAGGGAGUAAUAU